AGGAUUAACGCUGGCGGCGUGCAUGAAACAUGCAAGUCGAGCGCGGUGUGAUGAGGGGUAACCCAAUUCACAUCUAGCGGCGAACGGGUGAGUAACACGUGAGCAACCUACCUUUGAGUUGGGGAUAGCCCUGGGAAACCAGGAUUAAUACCCGAUGUGGUCACAACAGGACAUCCUGAUGUGAGUAAAGGCGUAAGCCGCUCAAUGACGGGCUCGCGGCCUAUUAGCUUGUUGGUGGGGUAACGGCCUACCAAGGCGAUGAUGGGUAGCUGGUCUGAGAGGACGAUCAGCCACACUGGGACUGAGACACGGCCCAGACUCCUACGGGAGGCAGCAGUUAGGAAUUUUCCGCAAUGGGCGAAAGCCUGACGGAGCAACGCCGCGUGAGUGAUGAAGACCUUCGGGUUGUAAAGCUCUGUCGGAGGGAAGAACACAAUGACGGUACCUCGAAAGGAAGCACCGGCUAACUCUGCGCCAGCAGCCGCGGUAAU
rnacentral:rRNA from 1 species